rfam:Vigna angularis cultivar Jingnong 6 scaffold866_9, whole genome shotgun sequence.
AGCGUGCUUGGGCGAGAGUAGUACUAGGAUGGGUGACCUCCUGGGAAGUCCUCGUGUUGCACCUC